rnacentral:rRNA from 1 species
GGUGCUUGCAUCAUGAUUUACAUUUGAGUGAGUGGCGAACUGGUGAGUAACACGUGGGAAACCUGCCCAGAAGCGGGGGAUAACACCUGGAAACAGAUGCUAAUACCGCAUAACAACUUGGACCGCAUGGUCCGAGUUUGAAAGAUGGCUUCGGCUAUCACUUUUGGAUGGUCCCGCGGCGUAUUAGCUAGAUGGUGGGGUAACGGCUCACCAUGGCAAUGAUACGUAGCCGACCUGAGAGGGUAAUCGGCCACAUUGGGACUGAGACACGGCCCAAACUCCUACGGGAGGCAGCAGUAGGGAAUCUUCCACAAUGGACGAAAGUCUGAUGGAGCAACGCCGCGUGAGUGAAGAAGGGUUUCGGCUCGUAAAACUCUGUUGUUAAAGAAGAACAUAUCUGAGAGUAACUGUUCAGGUAUUGACGGUAUUUAACCAGAAAGCCACGGCUAACUACGUGCCAGCAGCCGCGGUAAUACGUAGGUGGCAAGCGUUGUCCGGAUUUAUUGGGCGUAAAGCGAGCGCAGGCGGUUUUUUAAGUCUGAUGUGAAAGCCUUCGGCUCAACCGAAGAAGUGCAUCGGA